rnacentral:rRNA from 1 species
UACGUAGGGGGCAAGCGUUGUCCGGAUUUAUUGGGCGUAAAGAGCGUGUAGGCGGCCAUGCAGGUCCGUUGUGAAAACUCGAGGCUCAACCUCGAGACGUCGAUGGAAACCGCAUGGCUAGAGUCCGGAAGAGGAGAGUGGAAUUCCGUGGUGUAGCGGUGAAAUGCGCAGAUAUCAGGAAGAACACCCGUGGCGAAGGCGGCUCUCUGGGACGGUACUGACGCUGAGACGCGAAAGCGUGGGGAGCGAACAGG